ensembl:lncRNA
CACACACGCGCACACUCUGCUUCUCCUCACAUCCAGUUUACAUUACACAGACUUGUGACUUAACCCCUUGAGGGACGAGCCUCUUUUUUGGCUUCUUCUCCGAAAAUGGCACACGCAUGAUAAAAACUCUAAUAAUAAUAAGAAGAAGAAAAUACUUUAUGUGUGUGUGAUGAAUGUGGGGGACCCCUGUAAGUGCUUUAAUGUGUGACAAUCUCAGACCUCAUUGCAAAAACCAUCAAUUCUGUGAAAAACAACAAAGGUUUUAUCUCGACGGUGCCACAGGGGUUUGCUGAGGUGCGCUGAGAACCACAAGCGAUGAUGAAGUGAUGAAGCCUUUUGGAGCACAACUGACACCGACUGGGAAUCCCGAUCGGUGAAGCCGUUUGUUUAGUGGGAGCGGAGCGUUGUGUCGAGACAUUCACACUCCUCACUCGUCCAAACUUGGAGGCGCAGAUCGUUGCACUAAGUACACCCGCACCUUCAGAAUUAUUUUCCGACUUGUUGAGACGGUGAGUCAACACACUGUCAUUACAUGCAAAGUGUCCUUUUUAAAAAACCUCUCUCGGGAAGUACAAGUAGAUAUGCAGCAAGCAGCCGACAGCUCCGGUUUCCAGUAAUGUGUUGACG